CUUGUUUUAAGUCAAUAAUUUCUUUAAUAUUAAAAAAAAGUACUGGUUCCAUUGGCAGAUUAUUUCACUUACAACAUAGUUGUACAUGGUGAAAAGUUUCUUAGUUCACUUGAAAAGAGACAAAACCAAGAAACUAGACUGAAAAUACUUGGUGAGGUUUUGUGUUUUUGCAGUUGGGUUUUUAUUAGCUGUAAGCCAUAAUCAUCAAACCCAAUCUCACAAUAUGUGUCAGUGUUAACAAAUCUUCAUAACGAGUUUAGCUUUUCUUUUUAAUUGAAUUAACCAUGUUGGAUUAUAUUCCACUUUAUUCAGAUGUACCUUUGUUUUAUUGUUGCUUUGUUUCGUCCUUCUGUCUGUUGGAAAACUCAGAAAGUAACUUGGUGAAUCUGAGAUUGUCUCCUAGAGUCACGACAAAAAAAUAAUCAGGCUGUCUAAACAAAAGUAGAUUUUGAUUUUAAACAAAAAUAGAUUUUGUUUCAACAAAAUCUACAUGACCUCUGAGGAGCUGUAAAGCCACACACCUGCUGUAAGAGGGACAGUGAGGACUGGACUUUGUGAAACACUGGACGGACGAGAACUGGAACAAAGAGAAAAGUGCUAACUUUUUUUUUUUUUUUUUAGAGGGGAAGGGGGGAAGUUUAAUUUAUUUAUGGGUUUAAAACAAUUGGAGUUUGUAUUUAAAGAUUUACUGUUUGCUGCAACUAAAAAAUCAAUACACCGUCUAAGCUGUUACAAAGUGCCUUAAAAACUGGGAAGGCAGAGCUUUUUUUUUUUUUGUUUUUUGUAUUUUGGAAAGCUAAGAAGGACAUGCUUCUGAUUUAGUGUAAUUUAUUGAAGUGAUAAAGCAUUUUGUGAAGGAGAUACAAAUGAAACGUGAUUUUUAUUUUUUCCUGUAUAAAUCAGACGACAGCUGUGAGCUGGUUCGGCUGAACGGAGCGUCUCCGGUUCCGGUGUUCUGCUCUGCGAUUAUUAAAGAAAUCAAGAGUUUAAACUGCACAGAAACGACGUUUACAGACACUCUGGAACAACAACAACAACAAAAAAAUUAAAGUCUCAAUUUAUUCAGGUAGCCUGAUUGUCGCCAACAAGUUUUUCUAAGACACAACGAUGUGAUCGGAAGAAAAAUGCUUCAGAUUGUUCUUUUGAAGAAUUAAAACUAAACGUGUAAGCGUUCAGCCAUGUACAGGUACUUUUGUCACUGUAAAUUCUGCUCCAAUGAGUAUUGUAAAAAUGUUUAUAAACUAUAUGUAUUAAAGCCAACAUGCUGUUACCGGUAAAAGUAUUGAAAUAAGUUGUUUUUGCAACAAGCUGCUGAUGUUCAGUCCAUUUUAUGGAGACUAAUAGAGGCUUUUAUUCAUUUAAAUCAGAUGUGAGGGCUCAUAUCUACUCUAGGUAGCACUGCUGAUAGUUUUCAGUUUUAAAUCCAAUACAGAUUUAAGAAGAGGUCUCUCCUCUUUUCAUGUGAAAUAAUGUAGAAUUUUCUGCUCAGAUAUUUACGGUAAUAAAGUCCUCAUUCACCGUGGUCAAGCUUUUCCAACCGGUUUCGAUUUUACUACUUCUCUUCACCUCGUCCAUGCAGGGGCCACGUUUACAGUGCAGGUCAGAAGUUUACAGUCACAGCAUGUUAAUUCAAAUACUUUUUUUUUUCUUCCUUUGGGGUGCUUUAUUUGUUUACUCACAAAGGUGGGCUGAAUAAACAUUUUAAUAAGAAUCAAGUUUUCUUUUUCACUAGUCCACACAUGGUCAAAAUGAUUGAUUUCAUUUGCUAGUGCUAUCAAAAUGAAAUCAAACU